rnacentral:lncRNA from 1 species
UCUUUCUUGCACCAGAUCCAAGAAUUCUCUCUUGGGAUCUGGAUCGGACCCCUUUCCUGUAACAGAAUUACAGGAGUGAGCCACAGCACCUGGCCUGGAAUUUCCACGCACGAUUUGGUGAGAUAGAACUACAUUCUUCAAGUCCUGAUCUCACUGGGGAUCUCUGAAGUACUUUGGUUGCAAGCAACAGAAACCAACUAGAG